UACUCCAUUGAAUAUAUUUCGUUUUUGAUAAAGAUAGUAAUCGCCUAAAAGUUAAAAUUCAUCGUCGUAAUUCUCUCUGUUUAUAUCCCUGAUGAUGGGAGCUUGUACUGUAGUCUGUUCAGUGCCAUAUAUUUAAAGUUUUUAAGGAAAAAAACGAAAAAUCAUGUUGUGAAUGUUGCAAAUAUUUUGCAUAGGCCUUACGAAGAACAUUUUGAACUAUGUUUUGCAAUUUGAGCAACUUUUACUGACUCAGAGAUUUGCAUUCAGUCAAUACAAUAAUUAUGAUUUUAAAAACUUGCCAUGCAUCCUCCCAAAUAAUUGAAAUUGAUAGAAUCAACAUAUUAAUUCCCUGGUCCUAACAUCUACCUAAUAACAAAUACUAAUAUUGUGAUGCAUGCUGAGAUAUUACCAACGUGCGAAAGCAAAGGGGCUUUAUAACCUUCAACAUGUUUAUCCUGCAACGAUUAUAUAAUCAUUUUACUUACAGUUUACAUAUUAGCGGAAAAAACCGUAAAAUCGAAAAGCACAA